AUUGAACGCUGGCGGCAUGCCUUACACAUGCAAGUCGAAUGGCGGCACGGGAGCAAUCCUGGUGGCGAGUGGCGAACGGGUGAGUAAUAUAUCGGAACGUGCCCAGUCGUGGGGGAUAACGCAGCGAAAGCUGUGCUAAUACCGCAUACGACCUACGGAUGAAAGCGGGGGAUCGCAAGACCUCGCGCGAUUGGAGCGGCCGAUAUCAGAUUAGCUAGGUGGUGGGGUAAAAGCCCACCAAGGCGACGAUCUGUAGCUGGUCUGAGAGGACGACCAGCCACACUGGAACUGAGACACGGUCCAGACUCCUACGGGAGGCAGCAGUGGGGAAUUUUGGACAAUGGGCGCAAGCCUGAUCCAGCAAUGCCGCGUGCAGGAUGAAGGCCUUCGGGUUGUAAACUGCUUUUGUACGGAACGAAACGGCUCUUUCUAAUAAAGAGGGCUAAUGACGGUACCGUAAGAAUAAGCACCGGCUAACUACGUGCCAGCAGCCGCCGUAA
rnacentral:rRNA from 1 species